UAUUAUUAGACCCACAUUUUGUGGAAAAAAUGUGGAGCUAUUGUUAUGAUCCUUUCAUUGGUGUUGGUUAAACUUUUUAGCUCACCUGUCACAAAGUGACAAGGUGAACUUUUGUGAUUGAUUUUCGUCCGCCGUCCGUCCAUUUGGGCUAUUUAAGAGAAGUAGGGGGGCCAUGUGACUGUAAAUAGAACAAAAGAGAACAAUAAAGUUCAUUCAGUAACAAAAGAAUAGGGUGCCAUGGCCGCUCUAGUAAACAAAAGAAAAUUACAAAACAAAUGGCCCCUUAGUCCAUUUAAAUGACAGUUCAGAUAUUAAGUAGUGAGUGUCUACCAAGUUUGUUCAAAUAAAAGCCAUGGGGUAAAAAUUGGUCCCACGUUUGGGUCAUUGUUUUUCCCUAUAAGUGUAUAGUUAAAACUUAAAAGAUCUUCCUUUAUAAAAACCAAAGAGCUAGAGCUUAGAUAUUUAGCACCAACCUUGUACAAAUAAAAGCCAUGGGGUUAAAAUUAUCCUGGCUGGUGGUGGGGGGGGGGUGAGUCAUUGAUUUUCUUUGCAUGUAUAUAUUAGGAACUAAUGUUUUUACACAUGCACUUUUUCAGAUACAAAUAUAAACAUUGUGAUAUCAGUUUAAGAUUUAGAUUUUAUAUCUGCUUUUGUUUACAAUAUUACUUGUUCCUUUUCAUGGAGAAUUUCAGGUGAGCAUUUUCAGGGCCAUCAUGGCUCUUUUGUUAUUGUUAAGGUCCAUUUCAAAAGUGUUCACUUUCAAACUUGGUAUACAUGUUUACUAUCAACAUCAUAAAUAUGCAGAGGAAAAUACAUGUAAUCCUAAAUUUAAUCUGUGCUAAGUUGAACAAUAUUUUUGUGGUCCAUUUCUCAAAAUCUAACUGGAAUAAAAUAACUUGCUCACUAUAAAAAUUUAAAUGCUUUUAUCAGGGCUUGGAAUCAAAACUGUGUCGUAUCCUACAAGAUAUGUAAACAAACGCCGCCAUCUUGGAACGAAAAUGUUAUGUUUUUGUUAAUUACUCUUUUUAUUGGAAAUGACAGAAAACCAAAUAUAUGUAUUAACACGCUCCACUUUUUACCGCUUCGUUUGGUAUAUGUUGAUUGCAGAACUAUUUUGUAUAACAAAAGUUAAAGCAAACUUGCAACUUGAAGUGGGACAUAUUUUUUAAGGAGUUUUGUGGAUACAAUUCAGUUCAAUUUGCUAUAUCCAUUGUUUAUUUCAUUCAGAUCAAUUAUAUACUCAUUUCAUAAUUAACCAUAAACUUCAAAAUAUAAUUUUACAUCAUUUACUAAAAUUUCAUUAACCCAUUACUUCAUGAGCAUUUUGUGAAAAAUGGCUGUUUUCAUUGAAAAGUCUCCUGUUACAAGUUCAAAUUGCUAUAAAACUUUUAAAACUGCUUCAAUACUAAUCAAAUUGACUGGACCAUUGCCUUUGUAACAACAUGCCCAGGCUUAAAUUUCCUGUUACCAUGGCAAUGAGGGGACAUCUCAAAAUUGCCAAAAAUCACUAUUUUGCGUUGAUUUUUUCCAUCAAAAUUGAUUUCAAAGUGCUGCAACUUCUCAAUGGAUUGAGAUAGAGUCAAAUGCUUUUCAGCAUUCAUUAAAUGUUACCUUAUAAUCGAUCUGGGGUCAUUUUUAGCCUCUCACAAGUCCAAAAUAUUCUUAGUGGUGAGGGGGACUGCCGCCCCCCUUCAAACCCCCCAAGGGGGCACAUUCCCCUUCAGGCAACCCCCUGAUGUAUCUUUCGGUUGGGGGGGGCCAUGCCGAAAAAGUGGUCACUUUUUUAAACAACAUUUCUCAAACAAAAACAAGCAUUGAGAGCCUAAAUAAGGCAUUUUUUCACCAUUUUAGACAACAAUAAAAGGGGGGGGGGUGAAAAAGCCCUUAAAAGGCGUGUAUAUCUGGUAACAGGUUAAAAGAAAUGUUUAUUUUGAAAAAAAAAAAUGAUUAGUACCAAAUGAUACGACACAGUUGUAUUAAUAUUGUAGGCUGUAUAUUGAUUGGUUCAGCUAUUUGCUUGUGGAUUUAUUAAGUAUUUUUAGAAUUAUUGCCCUUGACUUAUUAAAGAUUUGCAAUUUUCAACUUAUGUCAGAGUUAUUGCCCUUUAGAUAGUAUAAAUUUGCAAUUUUCAAUUUGUGUGGACACAAGUUAAAAAUUGCAAAUUUUAACUACAUCAAGGGCAAUAACUUUAAGAAAACAAAAUAAAUCCACAAGCAAAACCCCAGGUGCAUAACUUCACAUGCUUAGCAACAUUCCUGUAAAGUUUCAUGAUUCUUGGUCAAAUACUUUUUGAGCUACAUGCGACACAAGAUGAAGUUGAAAAUUGCAAAUUUUUAGUAAGUCAAGGGCAAUAACUCAUAAAAAAUAUUAAAUAAGUCCACUAGAAAAUACCCAGGUGCACAACUACACAUACUGAGCAAUAUUCCUGUGAAGUUUCAUGACUCUAGCUCAAAUACUUUUUGAGCUACAUGUGACACAAAAUAAAAAGGACCGACGGAUGGACAGGACGGAUAGAUGGACGGACCGACCUAAAAGGGUAAAUCCCCCUCCUCCUAAAAUGGGGGGUACAAAAAGUUGCAAUUCUGUCGCUGGGGAUAGGGGGUGCUUUGACAGCAUACCAACGCUCUUUCUUUACAAAAUAAUGCUGCGGAUAUCUACAUGUUUGCAUACCAAAAAUAAUUAAAAUCUGAGAUGUUGUAAAAUUUUGGUCGGAAAGUAGAUAGCUUCCUUAAUAUCAAAUUAUUUUCAUAAUUGCUCUACAGUAUACAAGUUAGAGAUCUUCCUUUCGCUCACUGAGAACAAAUAACAGGUAGGAAGUGAUUUAUUUGGACGAAUGUGAAGGAGAAGAUAUGAAAGUGACAUUAUUAACAAAUAAUACAUGGCCUUGAGGGCAAUAUGCAAGUUUAUGGACUGAUUGGUCAGACUGAGGAAGGUAUAUGGUCCGAAGUGCAGCUGAGGGCAGUAUACAUUCCGAGGUCUAACCAACCAGUCUGUAAACUUGCAUUAUGCCCGAAAGGCCAUGUUUUAUUUGUUAUAUUAUACCGAAUCUAAAUCCUUUCAUCCCUUUUGUUGCUGACAUUUUUACUAUAAUUUACUUUCAAAUAAUAAUAUAUUUGUUCAGUGUGUGAAAUAUUUCAAACCCUAGUUGGAAUUAUUAUUAGCUCGACAGAGCCGAAGGCUCAGGGUGAGCUAUAAGUAUCAAAGUAUCAAAGCAUCCUUCGUCCGUCGUCAUGCGUCAACAAUCGUCUUCUUUUCUGAAACUGCUGAGCAGAUUUACUUCAAAUUCAAUCUGUAGCAUCCUUGUGACAGUCGCACUUGAAUUUGCUCAUGUCAUUUCAAUUGGCCCCUUUUAGGGGUCAACAGAGCUAAAAAUAGAAAAACCUUUAAACAUCUUCUACUACAGAACUAAUUGAUGGAUGAUCACCAAACUUUGUCUGUAGCAUUCUUGGGUAGUCUUUUAUCAAGUUUGCUCAUAUUAAUUUGAUUGGCCCCUUUUAGGGGUCUCUAGGGCUAAAAAUAGAAAAAACCUUUAGACAUCUUCUUCUACAGAACUAAUGGAUGGAUGAUCACCAAACUUUGUCUGUAGCAUUCUUGGGUAGUCUUUUAUCAAGUUUGCUCAUAUUAAUUUGAUUGGCCCCUUUAGGGGCAGCUAAAGCUAAAAAUAGAAAAACCUUUAAACAUUUAUCUAGAGAACUAAUGGAUGGAUGAUCACCAAACUUUGUCUGUAGCAUUCUUGGGUAGUCUUUUAUCAAAUUUGCUCAUAUUAAUUUGAUUGGCCCCUUUUAGAGAUCUCUAGGGCAAAAAAUAGAAAAACCUUUAAACGUCUUCUUCUAUAGAACUAAUGGAUGGAUGAUCACCAAACUUUGUCUGUAUCAUUCUUAGGUAGUUUUUUAUCAAGUUUGCUCAUAUAAAUUUGAUUGGCCCCUUUUAGGGGCCGCUAAAGCUAAAAAUAGAAAUACCUUUAAACAUCUAUUUCUACAGAACUAAUUGAUGGAUGUUCACCAAACUUUGUCUGUAGCAUUCUUGGGUAGUCUUUUAUCAAAUUUGCUCAUAUUAAUUUGAUUGGCCCCUUUGAGGAGGCUCUAGAGCUAAAAAUAGAAAAACCUUUAAACGUCUUCUUCUAUAGAACUAAUUGAUGAAUGAUCACCAAAUUUUGUCUGUAGCAUUCUUGGGUAGUCUUAUAUCAAGUUUGCUCAUAUUAUUGUGAUUGGCCCCUUUUAGGGGCAGCUAAAGCUAAAAAUAGAAAUACCUUUAAAUGUCUAUUUCUACAGAACUAAUUGUCUGUAGCAUCCUUAGGUAUGCUGUUAUCAAAUUUGCUCAUAUUAAUUUGAUAAUAUUAAUUGGGUCGCUUGCGCAUGCGCAUAGCGAGCCAAAGUUAUAAGCUACAUCUCAAGCUUAUGGCGAACCGAAUUUUGGCUGAAAUAUACUUGCAUGUAGUAAAUAGUUCUGUAUGGUCGGUAACAAGUUAGAAAAUCCGUACCUUCAUUCACUACAGGAGGGUUAUCAUACAUUUUGAAAUGUAUCUUGAUAUCGAAAAUUACAGUAAAUUUGGGCUGUGUACAGAAAAAAUAUCAAUGCGCGAUUGAAUCACGUGACAGGUCACUGGGGUCAGCCAUAUUUUUUCGAUGUAAACAUUUCGUCAUCCAGGAUAUUUUGAAGAAAUUGUGUGUGAUAUAACAAACUGUUGUGUGAGGUUUUUAAUGUGACAUGGUCAAGACAUACUAUGAUAGUAUUGUGCAGUAUGACUUCUGUCAUGUUACUGUUUGAUAACAGUGAAGGUACAGUAGGUUCAGACAAGUUAUAUACAUGUAUACAGGACAAGACAGCACAAACCGGCAGUUUGUUAUAACAGCAAAAAGUGAUGAAGUUUCAGCCAUGAUGAUGAUGAUGAUGAUCCUAUUUAUAAAUUCUUUGCAAUUAUCUGUAAGGAAGAGGUUUCUGCUGCAGAGAAGAAAAAAUUCAUACAGUAAGAAGUUGCCGCCCACUCUGUUCAAAUGAAGCUGUCUGAAGUACCCAGUAGAACAAUGUUUUAUUUCUGGAACAACUUAAUUGAAGUGAAGCUUACUAUGUGAAGGAGUUAUUUCUGUAUUCAAAAGGAAACUUCAGCAUACAGAAUACCAAUUGAGAUAUUUGUAGCUUUAGUUAUGGGAGAACACAAGAUUAAUUGAACUGGAAUCCCUUCAGAAGUUGACAUAGCUAAAUUCCACAGUUUAAACUAUAAAUUGACAUAAAAUUAAUAUACAUUGGUUUUAUUUUAUACAUGUAUCUGUUAAUAUUUUUGUUUUCCAUUAUUUCCCAAUAUUGUUAAUUUUGGAUAAUAUAAUGCCACAGAAAACUUGUCAGUCUUAGAUUAUGGCUGUUUAACAAAAACAAUCCAGAUUGUUCGUCAUAACAAUGAAAUUACAGUUUUGCUUGUUAAUAAAGUAAUUUACAUAAAUAUUUAAUUUUUGUAAGCAUGAAGAAAUUUGGAACAUACAAAGGGUAUUUGUUUCUUUUACAUGCAUGAUCCAAAUAUAUUUCAUAGAGUGAGAACCAGGUUCAAUACCGGUAUUUUCAUGAAUGGCAUUGAAAAACAUAUGCAAUGUAUAACUUUGCCACAAUGUUGGUAAAUGGAGGCUGCUAUUUUACUGUGACUGAAAGUAGUUCAGAUAUGACGCCUUAUUAUGUCCGAGAUCUAUAGCCCAUCAUACAAGCCAAAGAGAGCAGAUUUUUUUUCUGUGUAGAAUCAUUAAUUUUCAAUGUUCAUAUUUGAAAGUGAUUCUGUCAUAUUUCCUGAAUUUCCUUCAUGAUUUGCAAAUAUUAAUUAUCUACUCUUUAUUUAUCACAUUUUUCUGAGAAAUAAAUGUAUUUCCCACAAAAUAUCUGUUUGUUUAUAGGCUUUUCAUCCUCAUUCAAAUAAAGUCUGACUUCUUUUGAAAUUAUACUUUAUUGUGAAAUAAUCUAAAAGUACUGUCAUUUUUUACUGAAAAGCAUGUU